AUUUUGCUCCCAAAGAUAUCUUCCACGUGUGUACACAUGUGCACAGGGAGGGUACACCCUUUGUAGUUGAGGAAUUGCUGGCUUGCUGCCCACCUCAUCAGCUGAAUGCGCAACUCUGCACGCCAGGCCUGGCUUCUCCACUGAGUGGUUAGGGGUCACCUCCAGGCUAACAGCUUGCCUGUCGACAGUGCCUCUCUCAACGGCGCUUUCAUCCCCUCCUUUCUUCUCCUUUCUUAAGAGCCUUUUUCCUUCCUGCAACUAUUUGAUCUGAUCCGCUCUUGUCUUUUCCCUCUGGGAGGCCUGAGUCAAUCUUCUGAGCCCUUUUUGCUGUCCGCCAAGAGCUUGCAGUAGCUUUGAGCAAUUGAGAAGCUUUGCUCCUGGUAGACUCGUGCUUGUUCUCUUCUUCCCCCUCAACCUUACUGGCUCUGUACACUGAGAAGUGUUGGGACACAGCAGCGCUUUGUGGAGCCACUUUGCUCUCUGAUUGUCUUUUACCUAAGAGCAAGUAAUCUUUACCUUGAGCCGGCCUUCUCAAGGUUUUACAAAAUUAAGGCUGUGCCCAGGGAGAGAGAUUAAGAGCAUGUCAAAUGGGGCGCUGUGUUGUGCUUCGUCAGGGAGGGUGGGUGUGCUUACAUAUGAAAAGAGCAUUUCUUUUAAGACAAGAUAGCUAGAAGAGCAGAGUGGCAGACCUGCUUGUGAAAAUGCGGGGUCAAUAGGAACAAAGCCUGGGAAAGGCUGAGUCCUUCGUGGGCAAGUUUUCAUACCUCUGUCUGAUCAUCUUUGCAGGAAGUUCGAGGACAGGCAGGAGACAAAGCAGCACGUUCCUUCUUGUUCCUUCUUUACCCAGUUAACACUUCUCUGUUUCUUUUGACCCCUACACCCUGUUUCAGCAGGGGAUGAAAGACCAGCCCGACUUUAAAAAUAGCAUGGUCUGCAAGAAAAACCAGCAAAUUUGUCAUGUGAAACACAGUUCUUCCUCAAACUGUCUUUUCGUUACUAGUAAGUCUGAGUGGUUCAAAUCACUUGCAUGAAUAAAAGAAACAGUAUUUUCACUGAGUUUUUAAAGUUUCUUUUUCUAAGUGGGACUUUAGAGCACUUCUCUUCAAAAUCUACUGCUCAAAUGAAUCCCACAGUAUUUACUGGAAAUGGCAAAUGAAUGAAUGGUGUGGCUAUUUCUGCCUUUCCUUCAUAUAGCUCAGCACCAAGUUAGACUGCUCCUUAGUAUAUGCACAGACUGGGAAGGGUACAAGAAACUACCAAAACUAUCAUGUGGCAGAAACAUAGAAAAAAAAAUGAACUAAGGUAUUUCUUAUUAAGGUUACCUUAAUUUAUUAAUUAAGGUAUUUCUUACCUCCUCACAGAUUUUCUAUGGCCUAGGUUUUAGAUAUGUAAGCUCAUAUUGCGAGAAGGAAUCAAGGACGCGAACCCAAAUAUAGUGAGGCUUUUCAGGUCUAGAAGAGAAGCCCCGAGAAUGAAAAGUAGUGCAAUUAUUAAAACUAUAAACAUUUUUUUUUUCCUGAGGUUACCUUUAGAAGGGUCAGUUAAUAUCCUUAGUAAUGAAACUUUCCUUAGAAUAUGCAACUGAAAAUGAAUGCUAAAACCCUUCUAAAAUCCAGUGGGCAAGUCUGCAAUUUGUGAUUCUAGAAUUCAUAUGCUCAUUGUUUGUAGAAAUAUUUCCUUCAUCUUUACUUAUUGCAAAUUUUUUGUCCUUACCUUAACCUUAUGUCCUUAUUGUUUGAGAACACACAGAAAGGACAAAGUAGGUUAUUUUUAUUUGGUUUUAUAACCAAAUAGAGUUUGGGGCUAAUGUUUUGUACAUCUGGGUUUCCUAAAAAGCUCUGCAGUUUAUUACCUUUCUGAAAGUCUCAUUUGUGAGCAGGUGUCCCCUGCUAACAAGCUAUGGAUAAUGGACACUCUUGGACAAUUUGUAAUCAUCCGAGUUGUUUUUAGCAUUGCAAUGACUAUUCUGACUAUGAAUUUCUGAAGUGAAAUAAAAAUGUGUUUAUACUAA